rnacentral:lncRNA from 1 species
GCCACUCUGAGCAGACACCUGUCCCUUCGCCACAAUCGGCGACUCCCCAAGGAACUGACGCCCCCAGAGCCACCACCACCGCCGGGACUGCCAGCUGCCAGCGGGCCCCGCAAGCCCUAGGAGCUGCAGGAAUCCUCGUAAACUUACAGUUUUCCUACAGCGUGCGCGUCACAGCGGGGUGACGUCACGGGCCCAGCAGUCGGGGAGGUCAAGCCACGGGGCGCGGGCCGCUGGGCCCCCAGGCUCCGCCCUCGCCCCGCCCCGGCGCCGCGGCGGGAGACACGCCCCCGAGCUCCACGCCCUCGAGCUCCACGCACCUCCCCGUAGCAGACACCCCGCGCAGGCGCAGACGGCCUCUGCGCCCGCAUGCCUGUGGGCUUCGCCGACCGGGGCGCCUGCGGCGGCGACUGCUCUACCAAAGCCUCACUCAAAGCCUGAAGUCGGGGUUAGAGGAGGAGGAGGGGCCGACAAAAGGGGACGGAGACCUUCAGAAAUACUGUAAACAAGCUGUCGCCCUGGGGGCUGGAGUAAGACGCCUGGGUUGUGAGGUAGUUUUUCCACAGACAUUGCCCGCCUUCCUCACGUGUUCGUUAAAAGUUCUCCACGUGUGGAAACAGCCAUUUGCUCUCCAUCAGGUGCUGGCGGGUCCUCAGCCCUGAAAAGACAGCUCUCCCAGGGUCCCUCGCUCCUCCCCGGCUCGACGCGGCUCCCGCUAGACUCCGCCCAGACCCCGAGCAGUCCCCGCCCAUCUCUUGACUAUGCCCCUCCCACGCCCACUUAGGCCUUGCCCCUGGGUCCCGCCCUUCCGGCUCCCGCCCCUGGCUCCCGGCUCCCGCGGGCCCCCACCUGCCCUUCUUGCCCUGGCGCCGCCUCCAGCCCAGCCCGUUUCUUGCAGAUUUUAGCUUCUCCCUUGCCUGCCGCCUUUCCCGUUUCGGCUCGGUGAAGCUACCUAUGGGUUGCUGUUCAUUUAACAAACGGUGAUCCGGAUAAACAUGUUCACUUCUUCGCCUGGGCAAACUUUCCAGCCCCCGACCCACUCAUGUCACGAUACCUUCCCGUGUCCAAGUCCGGCUCUCUGCUCCCCACUUUUUUUUUUUUUUUUUUUUGAGACAGAGUGUUUCUCUGUCUCCCAGGCUGGAGUGCAGUGGCGCGAUCUCAACUCACAGUACCCCCUGCCUCCCGGGUUCAAACGAUUUUCUUGCCUCAGCCUCCUGAGUAGCUGGGAUUACAGGCGCGCGCCACCACAGCCGGCUAAUUUUUAUGUUUUAGUAGAGACAGGGUUUCACCAUGUUGGCCAGGAUGGUCUCCAUCUCUUGACCUCGUGAUCCGCCCGCCUCGGCCUCUCAAGGUGCUGGGAUUACAGGUGUGAGCCGCCGCGCCCGGCCUCUUUGCUCUUUUAUACUCUCAGAAGCAAUGAGUUCUGGUUAAAAAAAAGGGCUCGAUAGACGGAAAAAAUGAAGGCUUAAAGAACUGACAACAAAAUAUUAACAUUUGGCUUGUGGAAUUCUUACACUCUCGUAAGCAGAAAAAACAAAUGUUAUGGCAAAAAAGUGUCUCAGACAAAUCCGUCUUGGGGGGAAAAAAAUUAAAAGAAUGAGAAAAACAGACUUCGGAAUAAAUAGACCCAAAGGAGGAAGUAUUGAAAAUGGCAAGAUUCACUUUUACAAACUUAUUUGGAACCACGGCAGAUGGCCAGGGCAGGGAUUUUGCAAGGCAGCUCCAGUUGAUCAAGACCAAGGGAAACAAAAUCCCAUUCUGCAAUCCCCUUACAUUCCUCUCUUAAGUCCCAGGAUCUGGUUUGAUGAUCUCUUCCCAGGUAAUUGACAUAAAAAUCAGGUCACUCCUGAUUAGAGAUAGGCCCUUGUCUCCAACUCAAACCCAAGAAUAUACUAAUAACAACAAAAUAACCAUCUAUAAAACAAGAGUUACACAGGUUAAAAGGGGGCUUAUUCUGCCAAAGGAGCAGAGAUAGAGACUUUGCUGGAAGAAGACCUGGGACAGAGAUUGGAGAGCUCUGGAGGGAUGUCUGUUUAAUAACAGUCUUACAAGUCUGCAGUUACACAGUUUGCACAGUAUUUCAUCUCAUUUUAUCACCUCCCUUCCCUCAUCAUUUUACUUAGCUAAUUCUCCCCAAUCCUUUAGGUCUCUACUUUGCAGGAACUGACUCUGA